CUACGGGCGGCUGCAGUGGGGAAUAUUGCACAAUGGAGGAAACUCUGAUGCAGCAACGCCGCGUGGAGGAUGACACUUUUCGGAGCGUAAACUCCUUUUAUAUAGGAAGUAGAUGACGGUACUAUAUGAAUAAGCGCCGGCUAACUCCGUGCCAGCAGCCGCGGUAAUACGGAGGGCGCAAGCGUUACUCGGAAUCACUGGGCGUAAAGAGCGUGUAGGCGGAUUAAAAAGUCAGAAGUGAAAUCCUAUAGCUUAACUAUAGAACUGCUUCUGAAACUCUUAAUCUAGAAUAUGGGAGAGGUAGAUGGAAUUUCUGGUGUAGGGGUAAAAUCCGUAGAGAUCAGAAGGAACACCGAUUGCGAAGGCGAUCUACUAGAACAUUAUUGACGCUGAGACGCGAGAGCGUGGGGAGCAAACAGGAUUAGAUACCCGUGUAGUC
rnacentral:rRNA from 1 species